UACCCAACAACCAAGACACCAGAGGACUCGGAAGGACACAGUGGACGCCAGCAUGUGUCAGUGCAGAACAUUCUGGAACAGUACAGUCAAGGUCAUCAAUGAGAAGCCAUCGCCUCCAGGGAGGGCCUGAGGACGUGUCGAUUGCCUGCCACGUGUUCCCUGAGUGGGACCUUGGAGCAGAAAAAGAUAGUAGAGGGAAACUGAGGAAACCGGAAGAACAGUCUUUGGAAGCAGUACCCGGGUCCUAGUUGGCCAUGAGGAUAAAGUGUGCCUUAUGUUGCCAGGCUGACUCUGCUGCCAAAGCCAGGAGAAUGCUGGCAGCUCCCCAGGGAAGCAUUUUAAUCUCCAGCAUCAAACCAGACCCCUCUUCCAUCCGC
rnacentral:lncRNA from 1 species